rnacentral:other from 1 species
ACAGUUCGGAUGUCAACUCACUGAUUUAUAUACAGGCUUCCCCCUGAGCCGGUAUACCCCAAAUUGCUGUGUGUAGUCUUUGCCUGUCUUAUGACGGGCCUUUUUUUUA